UAGGGAAUCUUCGGCAAUGGACGAAAGUCUGACCGAGCAACGCCGCGUGAGUGAAGAAGGUUUUCGGAUCGUAAAACUCUGUUGUUAGAGAAGAACAAGGACGUUAGUAACUGAACGUCCCCUGACGGUAUCUAACCAGAAAGCCACGGCUGACUACGUGCCAGCAGCCGCGGUAAUACGUAGGUGGCAAGCGUUGUCCGGAUUUAUUGGGCGUAAAGCGAGCGCAGGCGGUUUCUUAAGUCUGAUGUGAAAGCCCCCGGCUCAACCGGGGAGGGUCAUUGGAAACUGGGAGACUUGAGUGCAGAAGAGGAGAGUGGAAUUCCAUGUGUAGCGGUGAAAUGCGUAGAUAUAUGGAGGAACACCAGUGGCGAAGGCGGCUCUCUGGUCUGUAACUGACGCUGAGGCUCGAAAGCGUGGGGAGCAAACAGG
rnacentral:rRNA from 1 species